UUCUAAAAGGAACUAUGUCUGGAAGGCUGUGGUCCAAGGCCAUUUUUGCUGGCUAUAAGCGGGGUCUCCGGAACCAAAGGGAGCACACAGCUCUUCUUAAAAUUGAAGGUGUUUACGCCCGAGAUGAAACAGAAUUCUAUUUGGGCAAGAGAUGCGCUUAUGUAUAUAAAGCAAAGAACUGGGAUUAACCCCUUGGUGUCUUCAGUCUUUCUUCCGGCCAGGACACACACUCCUUGGCCCCAGUGCCUGCGCUAGUCAUCCCGUGAUCACUUCAUGGCAUUUCCCCUCCCUUUCCAGUCUUUGUUCCAUGGUCACCUCAGUGAGACCUUCCUUGGCUAUUUAAAAUGGCAGCAACACAGUCACUCCUGGCGGCAAACCAAACAAAACCAGAGUCAUCUGGGGAAAAGUAACUCGGGCCCAUGGAAACAGUGGCAUGGUUCGUGCCAAAUUCCGAAGCAAUCUUCCUGCUAAGGCCAUUGGACACAGAAUCCGAGUGAUGCUGUACCCCUCAAGGAUUUAAACUAACGAAAAAUCAAUAAAUAAAUGUGGAUUUGUGCUCUUGUA
rnacentral:lncRNA from 10 species